rnacentral:misc_RNA from 1 species
GAAAUGCGAUAAGUAAUGUGAAUUGCAGAAUUCAGUGAAUCAUCGAAUCUUUGAACACACCUUGCGCUCCUUGGUAUUCCUUGGAGCAUGCCUGUUUGAGUAUCAUGAAAUCUUCAAAGUAAAUCUUUUGUUAACUCAAUUGGUUUCUACUUUGGUAUUGGAGGUCUUUGCAGCUUCACACCUGCUCCUCUUUGUUCAUUAGCUGGAUCUCAGUGUUAUGCUUGGUUCCACUCGGCGUGAUAAGUUAUCUAUCGCUGAGGACACUGUAAAAGGUGGCCAAGGUAAAUACAGAUGAACCGCUUCUAAUAGUCCAUUGACUUGGACAAUACUUUUAUGAUCUGAUCUCAAAUCAGGUAGGACUACCCGCUGAACUUAAGC